UAACUAGCCUACUAGCUAAUCCGCUAAUUAACAGCUGGUGAGUUAGCACUCAACAUAAAUCAUCUCUGUUAACUCCUCAGAGAAAGCACAGGAAUGCAGUGUACGAGAAAAUGUUCCUGAAAGUGUGCAAAUAACAGAAAAUAACAGUCGACACUUCAGAAGAAUAAGAGAAGUAUGAGCCUUUGCAGAAUUAUAUUAUUUCAUGAUGAGGAUUAGGAUUAUAAUCUGCCGAACGGUUAUGAGCCACGCCCCUGACCGACACACGUUUGAAGAGAUCACUGCCGCAGGUCUGGCGAGAUAAACGCAGAGAGAACCCAGGGAUCGCUUCCAAUACUGUUGCUGACGCACCCAUCGUCGACUUCACCUCGUCCUUCAUCAUCUUCCUCGUCGUCUCGUUACUGUGUUCUUAUCUCUUUUUAAAUCUCAGGUGAAGUUUUUUAGAUGAGCUCUGACUGUGUCUCUGAUAUAUUUAGUAGCCCUGAGUAAAUAAUGUUUAAUGAAGGUCACAUCAGAAUUUCAUGAUAAAUAAUAAUUAUUUAAUCGGCUGGAGUCGAGCAGAAAUCGAGCUGUAAUGGCGGCCCCGGUGUGAUCUGUGAUUUAGUUCGGCUCAGUGAAGUUUAAUCUGCAUAAUCUGGAAAACUCAGACUGGGACUUUUGCUAAAAUAGCAAAACUGGCCCUCCGUCUGGAUGGAGGGGUUCAUGUUGUCUAUCUCCUGUCAAUCAUAGCAACACUAAUGAAUCACAGGUGUUUAUGAAGAUGUGUGUGUGAGGAUGAGGAUGUGGUGUUAGCUGUCACAUGAUAGUGGGUGGGACCUAGGAAGUGACCAUAAAAAGUGUCUCCUUCACAGUCACUGACACACACAGAGGCCAGACCUUCUUCCCUGUGACUGACACAAACACAGGCCACGCCUCCUUCAUUGUAACUGACACACAGAGGACACGCCUCCUUCAUUGGGACUGACACAUAUGGAGGAGGCCAUGCCUCUUUUAUUGAGACUGACACACAGAGGCCACGCCUACUUCAUUGGGACUGACACACAGAGGACACGCCUCCUUCAUUGGGACUGACACACACGGAGGCCACGCCUCUUUUAUUGAGACUGACACACAGAGGCCACACCCCUUUUAUUGAAACCCACACACAGAGACCACACCUCCUUUACUGUGACUGACAUGCACAGAGGCCACGCCUCCUUCACUCUGGAAUAUCACAAACACACCCUAAUACUCCUUAGCACUUGAUCUUUAAAUUAGACUCGAAUUAAAUCAAACACCAACAGCUAUUCAAGACCUUAUUGAA